GCCACUGUGGUGUAGUGGUUUGAGUUUUAGUAUACAACUCUGGAGACCAGGGUUCAAAUCCCAGCUCUGCCA